GAUGAACGCUGGCGGCGUGCCUAAUACAUGCAAGUCGAGCGAACAGACAAGGAGCUUGCUCCUUUGACGUUAGCGGCGGACGGGUGAGUAACACGUGGGUAACCUACCUAUAAGACUGGGAUAACUUCGGGAAACCGGAGCUAAUACCGGAUAAUAUUUCGAACCGCAUGGUUCGAUAGUGAAAGAUGGUUUUGCUAUCACUUAUAGAUGGACCCGCGCCGUAUUAGCUAGUUGGUAAGGUAACGGCUUACCAAGGCGACGAUACGUAGCCGACCUGAGAGGGUGAUCGGCCACACUGGAACUGAGACACGGUCCAGACUCCUACGGGAGGCAGCAGUAGGGAAUCUUCCGCAAUGGGCGAAAGCCUGACGGAGCAACGCCGCGUGAGUGAUGAAGGUCUUCGGAUCGUAAAACUCUGUUAUUAGGGAAGAACAUACGUGUAAGUAACUAUGCACGUCUUGACGGUACCUAAUCAGAAAGCCACGGCUAACUACGUGCCAGCAGCCGCGGUAAUACGUAGGUGGCAAGCGUUAUCCGGAAUUAUUGGGCGUAAAGCGCGCGUAGGCGGUUUUUUAAGUCUGAUGUGAAAGCCCACGGCUCAACCGUGGAGGGUCAUUGGAAACUGUAAAACUUGAGUGCAGAAGAGGAAAGUGGAAUUCCAUGUGUAGCGGUGAAAUGCGCAGAGAUAUGGAGGAACACCAGUGGCGAAGGCGGCUUUCUGGUCUGUAACUGACGCUGAUGUGCGAAAGCGUGGGGAUCAAACAGGAUUAGAUACCCUGGUAGUCCACGCCGUAAACGAUGAGUGCUAAGUGUUAGGGGGUUUCCGCCCCUUAGUGCUGCAGCUAACGCAUUAAGCACUCCGCCUGGGGAGUACGACCGCAAGGUUGGAACUCAAAGGAAUUGACGGGGACCCGCACAAGCGGUGGAGCAUGUGGUUUAAUUCGAAGCAACGCGAAGAACCUUACCAAAUCUUGACAUCCUUUGACAACUCUAGAGAUAGAGCCUUCCCCUUCGGGGGACAAAGUGACAGGUGGUGCAUGGUUGUCGUCAGCUCGUGUCGUGAGAUGUUGGGUUAAGUCCCGCAACGAGCGCAACCCUUAAGCUUAGUUGCCAUCAUUAAGUUGGGCACUCUAAGUUGACUGCCGGUGACAAACCGGAGGAAGGUGGGGAUGACGUCAAAUCAUCAUGCCCCUUAUGAUUUGGGCUACACACGUGCUACAAUGGACAAUACAAAGGGCAGCGAAACCGCGAGGUCAAGCAAAUCCCAUAAAGUUGUUCUCAGUUCGGAUUGUAGUCUGCAACUCGACUACAUGAAGCUGGAAUCGCUAGUAAUCGUAGAUCAGCAUGCUACGGUGAAUACGUUCCCGGGUCU
rnacentral:rRNA from 1 species